rnacentral:tRNA from 1 species
CGGGGCGUAGCUUAAUUGGCGAAGCGCUCGCUUUGGGAGCGAGAGAUUGCGUGUUCAAGUCACGCCGUCCCGA